UCAGCAACCAUGUUUUAUACCAUUUCCUUCCUAGUUUUUAAGUUCAUUUUUUUUUAAAUUACACACUGCAGCCGUUGCAAGAAUGAACUCUUCGUCCAAAUGUUCCAUCUUGGCAACAAUGCACGUUUGGGUGGUCUUCCUUCACAUCUGUGUAAAACGAACUGAACGUGUAAACGCCAGAUUUUCGUUCAGUUUAUCUGCACAGAUCUGGCUUGGGCAAGCCAAAUCGUUCAGAUGGCUUGAGCGUGUAAACGGGCUUUUAGGCUAUUGAUUUCAGAGUUUUAUCGAACAAAAACUUAUAGUUUUAUUAUCGGUUACAAGGUGUUCCCGUCUGUUAUUUUAAGUUGAUUCAACUGAACAUGUUCAUAUAGUUUUUGUUCCCAAUGAAUAAGAUGUUUAAAAACAUGAGCAAAAAUAUCAUUGCUAUUAUGAAACUUCGUUCAUCCUGUAUUUUUUGCAAGUUUUAUGCAGGUUUAAGUGGCCACUAAUUAUAUAGUGAUGCUCUCGAGGACCGCUGACGGACCAGACCCAGGCCCACCUGACUACAUUUUGACAGCAUCUUUGCCAACGCCCACGAGUCUGAUGACCUUUGUUAUGGUGUCAUAUCAGCUUAAUUUUUUUUCUUUAAACAAAAUACUUGGGAUGAACUGCCAUAAUAUGCUAAUUGAAAAGGUCUUUGACUCAUUUUUCUUGCUUCAGCUUGAGUUGAAAAUGAAUUUUUCAAUUUUAUUUUAGUGUCUGUUUCAUCCAUUAAAAAGCGAAAUCCAAUCCGAAAAUAUUGUAAAGACUUGAAUUGUUGAAAAUUAAAAUUUUAGUUCUCAACAAGAGUAGAGAAGAUUUGGGUACCAUUAUAGUACCAUGAUCUCACAAAUAAACAAACAUUGACAUAAAGACAAUAACCGGUAGUUCCAUGGUUUACUUGAGAUUAGCGAGUUACUAGUUGGAAUUGUUAAUUUUUGGUAUGCGCAAGUAAAAUUUUUAUAUUUUGAUAGCCUUUGUAUAAUCACUACAUUUGCAUGUUUUCCAGAAACAUUUGGAACAUGUUGCAAUUGUACCCCAGUAGAUUAUUAUUUUAUUGAUAUUUUUCAAAGUCAAUCAAAAGUUCAAGAGUUACGUGGAUUCAGUCUAACAAAUGUGGCACACAAAAAAUGUGCUCAUGCAUUUCGUUUCGAAUGGUUCUAGCCGACGAAAUCCAUUAAUUAUGUAGUGGUUUUACUUUUAUGAAACCAAGACUUUUUGAUUCGCAUACGUAUUAUAUUGCUUUUAAAUUGUUUCCUUAAAAUGAAGAUUUUUGAGGUAAUAUAAAGAUACAUUGUUACAUUUGUCUCUCGUAUUUGUUACAGCUGUCCCAUGAAUGGGUACGUUUCUCUGUAACACUUUGUAUUAACUGUAUGUUCAUUUUAUUUUGUUUCUAAUUUAUAAAACUUUGAAUAUUUUAUAAGGUAAGAGUGUAAUUGAUUGCCUAAACUACAUAGUAGCACUUUAUUUCACCCAUAGCUUUCAAAUCACCUUUGCAAAAAAUCACAAGUAAAAAAAUUUCCUUACUCUCCCUUACUGGUAGUAAUUGACAAUCCACAAAAUGCUCAUUAAUAGUGUAUUUAUUGGCAAUUUAGUAUAUAAUGCGCGGUUCAUUAUGAAAUGAUUAUUUAGAACAAUUUUCUAACUCAACAAAAUAUGACUUUCAUUGAACAUUGAAGAGCAAGUCUCUACAAAAAAACUAAGCAAUUAAGCAUACAAAAAACGGUUAAGCAGUAUGAUCGCAAAAGAAGUAAAACAGCAAUAUUAACAGUAAGAAACAGUGGCUAAAAAAACCGAGGAGUUGAAGAAAGAAAGUGUAAAAAGGUAAAGUAGAAUAGAUGCAGUGAAAAAAUAUUCUCAAAAGUUACUGUUGUCGAAAACUGACGUAAAUUUUAAAUUCCGCUUCAGCUUCGGUUGAAAAUAUUGAUUGAUAUUGAAAAGUCGUCUAGUAAGUAGUCGUAUUUUUUUACACAUAUUUAAUGCAUAUUUAAAUAUUGAUCUAUUUGUUAAACAUGAUACAAAGGCGUAACUUCGGUCGAUUACUAUAACUUUUUUAAAUUUUUUGAUUAGAACGCUAAAUACCCCUUUGGUCCUCGCCCUUUUUUAUAGUAAUAAAGCUUCUGUGUGAUAAUUGUUAAAUGUCUGUUGCUCAUAAAAUUAACCAUUAAACAAACAGUGAUGUUUACGAUUUUGUCCAGGUUUACGUGGCGGUUAAUCGGGUGAGUAAUUGUUAAAAGUUUCCUUCUGAUUGACUCAUAUUAAGUUGCAAAUUGGUAGGUUUUACCACCAACAUAACGCCAUCGUUCAGCGUAUUUGUUGCAUAAUUAUCCAGUGGUUAUUUUGCAAACGCAAAACAAUAUAUUAUAAUUUAUCAAUUUAAGCGUCGGAUUGAUCAUCAAUUGAAAUACAGUCGUUCUUUAGUGUGAUCAAUUCACCUGGGAUAUUUAGUAUAAACUGUUCAUGGCUGAAAUAAACAAAGCCUUUCCCUUACCUAAAGCAAAGGCGGCAAUAUUGCUAAUUAUGUGAAAUCGUCAACGACCAAUCAAAUCCAACGUGGAGAGGCUGUAUAGCAGCACUGAUUGGUCCAAUGUAAACUAGAAAAUUACCUGAUUCUUUAUUAUUAAAGCAUGAUUACAUCUCGAAUAUGGCAAUAGUCUUGUUAGUCAAUAUGGGAUAUAAUUCAUUAAUCAUGGUGUGAUGUUUAUUUUUUGCUGUAUUUUUAUGUACACAUCAGUUAUAUGAAUGUCACAAGUAUUAAAUGGUUUGCUCCUGUUUCAAAUAAAGCCCAUCAUUGUUAUAAUA